ensembl:lncRNA
CCAGAACGAUUUACAUUUUAUUUUUUGAUAUUACCGUUAUUCAGUGUAGAAGGAAGAAAUGACUGCUGGGGAAAAUACCAACAAUGUUUGCAACAGGAGGCAAGGAGGUCAAGGACCAAACGUCCAGGUGUAGAUAAUGGGUUGUCACUGUGGAUGUAGAAGUCACCGAAAUGACGACAGGGGUGUGGUGGUGCCAGCAGUGAGCGGGGCUAAAGUCUUCGCAGAGGACCACAGCGAUGGGGAAGGGGCAGACAACUGCAUCGGAGGGGUGAUGUGUGCCGUCCAGGAAGGUGCUUCCACCUUCUCAGAUGGGCAGCCUACUCCCUCGGUUGUCCCGGGCCCCUGGCGUGAGGACCGUGAGGACCGUUCCUCUUCUUUGAGUCUGCCUCCUCUGUCCUUGCCCCAGGCCGCAUGCAGCCCGCCCAGCCUGCGCUCGAGCUCCCUUUCCCGGGGUCCGUCCUCAGAACCCACCGUCAGAUGGGAAAAGCUGAGGAGCAAAGGGCUCAGUCCCGGCGUCAGGAUCCAGGCAUGCUUAGGGUCAUGGAAACUCCUGGGUAAAGCUUCGGCGAUGGGCGGGGCUCCAGGGAGGACCCAUACCAGGUGACAAAAAAGCCUGCUCCCUGCUGGCUCGCAGAUCCACGAGGGUCCUGCGUGCAUGAGGUUGGGCUGCCCUGCGUGGGCGGGUAACCGCCCCCACAUCCAGUGAAACGUGGGCUCUGCGAUGAAGGGGAGAGAGCUGGCUGCCGCUAGGGGCAAAGGAUGGGGGAUGGCGUCGGGCCAGUGGCUCAGGAGGGCAGUGACAGCUGCCUGGAGAUUUGCCGGCCGAGUUGCCUGGUGAUUAGCCACACUACCAAGACUGAGCUGAGAGCCACGUGGUGAUUGGCCAGGGGUGCGGCUGUGACAUCAGGAGGAGGGCAUUGUGACGCACAGGGAGGUUAUAAAAGCCGGGUGCCCGCCGCAGGCCUCACUGAGGGGACAGAUGGCGCCUCCCCCGAGCUCCUCCUGUUCUUCACAGUGUACUACACCGCCUUCUCCAGCCCAGGGGAUGGCCCACCCCUGGCCCGCUUGUCCUGCAGGGGCCUCUCGCGCACCUUGCGCUCCACCUUCAGGUCGGUCGGCCUCUGGCGCCUCGGCGGUGCCGCAAGCGCCUGCACUGGCACCCGGCGCCUCAGCAGCCUGCGCCCCGCAGCUGGGUGUCCCCGUUCUGCAGGGGGAAGUCAUGUGCGUGGAAUCAGAGCACAGCGGCUCCUCGCCCAGCCGGAGAGGGCCCCUCCCAGACCCACAGCGUCGCAACCGGGUUCAGCACAGGGGGCUCGAGUUCCUCGGACACUCAACAGACAUCCCACCCACCUCAGCAAUGGGUGAAUGAGGCUGCUGGACACCUGGUCAAUUGCGAGCCCCCACCCCAGCUCAACACAGAGCAAGCGAGUCCCCCAGACACGCAGCCCACCCCAGGAGGGCGCAGAAAAGGAGCCGGGGCGGAAUGUGGGCCCCCUCCUUGAGUGGAGGUGAUGUGAGCUUCACAAUGUAUGUGAGUUUUAAACUGUGUUGAAAUGCAAAAGAAGUGUCCCCGAGUGAUUGCGAUGUACAGCUCAGGGUCACAGGCACUGCACGUCCCAUGAGUCGUCACAUUCUCCAGCUGGUCGGUCCCGACAGGGCCAGUGUCUGAUCUGACUCAGAGCAGAGCCGAGGUGGACAGGGGUCUCCACAGCUCUGAGAAAGUGCCCGUGAACUAUAGAGAGCUGACACUGAGGACAACCUGCCCCUCCCCGUCAACACUUUUCAUACAUGUUGACGACACUGAAAGUCAAAGCUGCACUGAGGUGGGCGCCGUUCUGAUAAAUAGAAAAGCAAAAGCAGUGUCCGCACCGGCUGUUUCUUCCCAGACCACUUCUGGCCGAGACCUCCCAGCCAGUUUGUGGCAGACGUGGGCUCAGACCCGGAUGGGACCGCUCCAAGCUGCUUCGGCCCGCAGCAGGUGUCAUUUCCCAGGAUCCCCUGAGGGAGCCCAGGCUGUGGGGGCAAGCAAGGAUGGGCCAGUUCCACGAUGGGCUAGAGCGCUGCACUAACAAGACUUCUUCGGCUGAACUGAAGUGCAACUAGGCGGGCUGAGCCCUCUGUCCAACAUGGCAAAACGAGAGAUCAGAUUCAACGACAUGGGACCCAGGAGAAGAGGUGCCGGCUCUCUGGGCAAAUCACGGAAGUAAAGCUGAUGUUUCAAUACUCCAUUUUUGAAUAUCAGAUUUUCUAAUGCAAAUGUAAAAUAUAAUGUAUUCAUAUAACAGUUUGCAGUAAACUGUGUUUCCUACACCUCGGCAGGAAGGAAGACGUCCCCCCAUUUCUGCCCUGAUUGUCCCUGCUGUCCCCCUUGCUCUCCGCCAUCUGCACUCAGGGCCCUGAGGCGGCCUCUGUCCUGCUGGCCACAGGGAAAUGGAAUGGAUGUGUAGUAAUUUCUGAAUCAGAGCAACAUAGAUGUUGCUAAAAACACGAAAUGAGUUGAAAGAAGAGGCAGCAGAGAGGGAUGGAAGCUGAGGACUCUGUCCAUCGUCCACCCAUUUGACAAGGAUGACCGCAGGGCUUCUCCCGGCUUCAAGGGCAGGGGCCGUGCUGGGCACGGGGCGCAGAGGGGGCCUGGGUCUGUGAGACAACGCUACACGAACCUCACAGAGACGGUCACCCCAACUCCCCACCUGCUCUUCCUUCCAGUUGCUUACGCCCCAAAGUGUCAUCCUGCCCCCUCCUCCCCGCACAGCCCCCCACGGAGGCAUGCUAGCGGGUUGGCACCUUUCUAUUUUCAGAAAUAAGAACAUGAAGCUCAGUUCCGUUCACACUGUCACCACCUCAUCUAAGGAGGGAGAUUUUCCCACCCCCUAGGAAGGACACAACUUCAGAGAAAAGCCAGUCCCUUCCGAGAAACAGGGACAGGUGGCUGAUUGUCCAGGCCAGGCCCCUUUGAGGGUGAAGGGACGUUCCCCACCAUCAUAGGACAGGGGGACAACAGGCCUCACCAGUGGUCAGGCACAGAGGAUGUGCAGUCACCUGCCAGGAGAGGGCGCUGGGACGCAGGUGCCCUGCGGAGCCUGCUGUCCUGGAACCCACACGGAGAAGGUGCCUCAGGGGAACAGGUGUGGUCAGUGUGUCACUUGCUGAGGGGCCAGGAUGGGGGCACAGUGCGCACCAGCUGGUGGGGGUCAGGUGGUCCUGCUGGUCCCCUUGUGUCCCUCUUGCUGGUUCCGUGGGUCGCCCCCAGCUGCUGCAUCGUGGGCCCCUGCAGGCUCCUGCAGAGGACUGCCCUACGUGACGUGCCACUUAGGCCCAGGUGCAGGGAGUGGAAGCGACGGGCACUCAGGCUGCCCCCAGGUCUCCCGAGCCUUUGAGCCUUCGGCUGGCUGGCACUGGAGGAGGCAGGUGUAACUUGUGCCCAGGGCCCCACAGGAUCAGAUGGCACACACACACCACGUGGCCUCUGGGGUGCUGUGCAGUAGACCUGGCCCACUGGGAAGCAGCCCGCCAGCCCAGACCGCUUUCCACACUUAGGACGCCACCAAUCGGCGGCAAACGGGUUGAGCCUGGAGGAGAAAGCUCUCCCUACAGAGCCACAGCAGGUGUCCUGGAUGGCCAAGGGCUCUGCCCCAGGAUCUGUGCGCUCCUUCCACACAGUGGAACGAGUGGGACGGAGACGGGUGGAUCGGCAGGUGAAGGAUUUCCCACCUUCUGUGAUGAACAGGUAGCUGUUUGAACUACUCUGGUGUCCUCUAUUUAAAUAAGCUAAACUUCCCCUGCUUGUCACCAUCUCUGGUCUCAUGUUUCUACAACCACUUGAUCAUUUAGGAAAUCUCUUGGGUGACCUGUGACCAGUCAAGCCCUCAGCCGGCCUCAGGUCAGGUCACCUGCUGGUUGCAGGAGGAGAACUUCCUGGGCUGGGCUGCCUCCACCCCUGCUGAGGGGGCAGCUGCUGCCUCUGACGCCCUGUGUGCCCAGCUUCUGAGAGAACGGGGUCUCGGCAGUGCUGAGAGCCAAAGUCAGAGGCUCACACACCCCGAGCCAGGUCAGCCCCUUGGCCCUCAUCCCCCCUCAUCCCCAAACAGAGCCAGCCGGGACCCUGCAGGGGCUCCAGAACCAUCAGCAUCGGCACCACGGGAAUGCGGACCCGCCCGGGACCAGGAUGUCCCACCCUCAGAGCAGUCAGGGGUGGGGCCGGAGGAAAUCCAGGACAAAACAUUUGGAGAUGGAGUGUGGUAACAGCUGCUGACCUGUCCACCAGGCAAGACCCUCCACCUGCAAAAAGAUUAUGACUCAUUAACAGCUCAGAUGGUGGUUAGCAUUUUUCAGCAAUAGAAUUUUUUAAUUAAGAUGUGUACAUUGCUUUCUUAGGUAUAGUGCUAUUGCACACUUAAUAGACUACAGUGUAAUAUAGACAUAACUUAUACGCACUGGGAAACCAAAAAAUUCGUGUGACUGGCUUUAUUGCGGCGGUCUGGAACUGAACCCGUAAUAUCUCCAAGGUGUGCCUGUAUUCGGUCGGCCAAUCCCCAAACACCAAGCCAACUCUGGCCCUUCUCACGCCAGACAAGGUUGACUAUGUGGCCACAGCCAAUCAGAUAUUUUCUAUUUGUCUCUUCCUUGUUCUUUAUUCUUUAUCCUAUAAAAUCUUCUUGCCUUCUGCUCCAUUGUGCAGUUCUCCUGAGGGAGACUGUCCACUUCAUGAUGUGUUAAAUAAAGUUUGUCUGUAUCACCUAAAUUGUCCUCUUUAAUCUCUUUUUUAACACAGAUUAGGGAUGCCACAGGAGAAAAUUAUGUGUGACGUGAAAGGAGGAAGUCAAGCAGUGGCCACUACCCUUGCAGGGGAACGUGGGAAGCCAGGCACUAUGAAACCUGCAUACGUCACUGACCUGCUGUCCCCUCGGCCCCUUGUCUUGUGUCAGGUGAGGGUCUGCGGCCAUGUGGUAAGGUCCCAGCCUCUUCUACAGGUUGCCUGCAUUAAUGAAGCUGAAGGGACACAAGACAGACAUGAUAUGUUUGCCUUCAGGGGCUCCAGGUUGUCCCUGGAUGUGCCAGCCUGUCCUUGCUCUCCCCCACUUCAGACCCAGACUCAAUGGCCUUCCACAGGCUUUUCACUAUUGCCUUGUCACUUACAAAGCUUCUACUUCUAUGAUUGAACUCUGAUACAGAAUCAUACACCUGUGUAUCUCCCUGUCUUAGCUAGAGACUGAUUGUUUGUAGAGAACAUAACCUUCUCAGUCUAGCUUUCUUUAAGGAAAGGUAUUCCAAAAAGAAAAACGGGCAAACCACUUGAAAAGGUACUUUACAAAAGAAGAUACUAAAUCUCUAAUAAAUACAUGAAAAGGCACUCAACUCAUUAGGGAAAUGCAAGUUGAAACCCUAAUGAAGUAGCACACCCACCGGAAUGGUGAAAAUUAAAAAGAAUGGCGAUUCUACAUGUUCACAAGGAUGUGGAACGACUAGAACUUGCAUACCCAGCAAUUCCACUCCCAAGACACCACAGAGAAAUGAGAGCAGAUAGCCACCAAAAGGUAAAUACAACAAUGUUCACACCAGUUUAUUGGUUAAUAUUAAAAAGAAAAAACUGGAAACAACCCAGUGUCCGUCAGUGAAUAAUGAACAAAUAAAUAAAUUGUGGUGUACUCAUAUAAUGGAAGACUACACAGCAGUUUAAAAAAAUCUAAAACUGUUGACACACAACAUGGAUGAAUGUCACAGAAACUUAGUUGAGUGAUGGAAGAUAAGUGCCACACAGCAGUCUCGACUCAUUCCUCCUGAAUGAGUGACUAGCUGGUGCUGAAGAGGACCUGAAGCUACGACGUGCUCACAUCGAUGUGAAGACAAAAGCCAGUGCCCAACAUGUUUCCAUCAACAAGCUGAUGCCCCUUGGAAGCUCGCUGGAUGUUCUUUUAACCUGUUCCACCUGGACAGCUGGGGAGAUGUGGCAGGACUUGAGGUCUGGAUUCAGGACUCCACCCUCAGAGGGUUCUCUGCUCAGUCCAAUUCAGGCCAUAAGACUCAAGAACCAGACAUUCUGUUUAAUUCCAGUUCGAAUUGUAAGUUGGCUGUCAGAUAGCAAGGGUUAAAUUAAAUACUUGAAGUAUAAAGUGCUACAAGAAAAUGUAUGUGGAUAUAUUAUCUAUCAGCAUUGUUGCUAUAUAUGUGUAUGUGUAUACUGAUAUAGGUACAUGUAUAUUAAUAUUGCUAAUAUUAGGACCACACCCAUAACACAUACCCCUCUAAAUCGAUACAUCUAUACACUGUUGUUAGCAUAUUUUUCCUGAAAUGCCGUUCUAUCUUUUUUAUUGUUUAGAGAGUAUGAAUCCCAGUCCACAAACCCAGAUGUGCAAUACAUAUUUUCUUUUCUAUAAGUCAAUGUAAUUUCUGACCCUAAGCUUUCAUUCUGCAGAGCUGGUGGGAAACAAUUCAGUCCGUGGGGAUGUCUUCUCCCCAAAUUUCAGCACUGUUCUGGGGUAUUUGGGAAUGUGGGGGGGGGGGUGCGGCGGGGCACAC